GGAGCUUUAACCGAACAAGCGUAUCGGGUUCGCCUGCUAAGCGAUGCGUUCCACUGUCCGUGGGAUGAGGUGCAAGUCCUCAAGGCUCCGCCA
rnacentral:tRNA from 1 species